GUGCACGCUGGCGGUAGGCCUAACACAUGCAAGUCGCACGGCAGCACAGUAAGAGCUUGCUCUUACGGGUGGCGAGUGGCGGACGGGUGAGGAAUACAUCGGAAUCUACUUUUUCGUGGGGGAUAACGUAGGGAAACUUACGCUAAUACCGCAUACGACCUACGGGUGAAAGCAGGGGAUCUUCGGACCUUGCGCGAUUGAAUGAGCCGAUGUCGGAUUAGCUAGUUGGCGGGGUAAAGGCCCACCAAGGCGACGAUCCGUAGCUGGUCUGAGAGGAUGAUCAGCCACACUGGAACUGAGACACGGUCCAGACUCCUACGGGAGGCAGCAGUGGGGAAUAUUGGACAAUGGGCGCAAGCCUGAUCCAGCCAUACCGCGUGGGUGAAGAAGGCCUUCGGGUUGUAAAGCCCUUUUGUUGGGAAAGAAAAGCAGCAGGUUAAUACCCCGCUGUUCUGACGGUACCCAAAGAAUAAGCACCGGCUAACUUCGUG
rnacentral:rRNA from 1 species